rnacentral:tRNA from 4 species
AGCCUUAUAUUCAUGAAUGAUUAUAGAAUGCAAUUCUGUAGGAGUAAUAAUAUUACUAAGGCUU